rnacentral:rRNA from 1 species
AUUGAACGCUGGCGGAAUGCUUUACACAUGCAAGUCGAGCGGCAGCGCGGGGGCAACCCUGGCGGCGAGCGGCGAACGGGUGAGUAACACAUCGGAACGUACCCUAUCGUGGGGGAUAGCUCGGCGAAAGCCGGAUUAAUACCGCAUAAGACCUGAGGGUGAAAGCGGGGGAUCGCAAGACCUCGCGCGAUUGGAGCGGCCGAUGUCGGAUUAGCUAGUUGGCGAGGUAAAGGCUCACCAAGGCGACGAUCCGUAGCUGGUCUGAGAGGACGACCAGCCACACUGGAACUGAGACACGGUCCAGACUCCUACGGGAGGCAGCAGUGGGGAAUUUUGGACAAUGGGGGAAACCCUGAUCCAGCCAUUCCGCGUGAGUGAAGAAGGCCUUCGGGUUGUAAAGCUCUUUCGGCAGGAACGAAACGGUGGAGGCUAAUACCUUCCAUCAAUGACGGUACCUGAAGAAGAAGCACCGGCUAACUACGUGCCAGCAGCCGCGGUAAUACGUAGGGUGCGAGCGUUAAUCGGAAUUACUGGGCGUAAAGCGUGCGCAGGCGGCUUUGUAAGACAGGUGUGAAAUCCCCGGGCUUAACCUGGGAACUGCGCUUGUGACUGCAAGGCUUGAGUGCGGCAGAGGGGGGUGGAAUUCCACGUGUAGCAGUGAAAUGCGUAGAGAUGUGGAGGAACACCGAUGGCGAAGGCAGCCCCCUGGGUCGACACUGACGCUCAUGCACGAAAGCGUGGGUAGCAAACAGGAUUAGAUACCCUGGUAGUCCACGCCCUAAACGAUGCCAACUAGGUGUUGGGGAAGGAGACUUCCUUAGUACCGUAGCUAACGCGUGAAGUUGGCCGCCUGGGGAGUACGGUCGCAAGAUUA